AUUGAACGCUGGCGGCAGGCCUAACACAUGCAAGUCGAGCGGAGCGGCGGACGGGUGAGUAAUUCCUAGGAAUCUGCCUGGUAGUGGGGGAUAACGUCCGUAAACGGGCGCUAAUACCGCAUACUAUCAGAUGAGCCUAGGUCGGAUUAGCUAUUUGGUGGGGUAAAGGCCUACCAAGGCGACGAUCCGUAACUGGUCUGAGAGGAUGAUCAGUCACACUGGAACUGAGACACGGUCCAGAGUCCUACGGGAGGCAGCAGUGGGGAAUUUUGGACAAUGGGGGAAACCCUGAUGCAGCCAUCCCGCGUGUGCGAUGAAGGCCUUCGGGUUGUAAAGCACUUUUGGCAGGAAAGCGGUACCUGCAGAAUAAGCACCGGCUAACUACGUGCCAGCCGCCGCGGUAAUUC
rnacentral:rRNA from 1 species